rnacentral:miRNA from 1 species
CGGGCGGCCGUCGGGGAAAGCGG